GUUCUCGUGGUGUAGUCGGUCAUCACAUCCGCCUAACACGCGGAAGGUCCCCGGUUCGAACCCGGGCGAGAACA